rnacentral:rRNA from 1 species
UACGAAGGGUGCAAACGUUGCUCGGAAUUAUUGGGCGUAAAGCGCACGUAGGCGGUAUUGAAAGUUGGAUGUGAAAUCCCUCGGCUUAACCAAGGAAGUGCAUCCAAAACUCCAGUACUUGAGUACUUAAGAGGAUCGCGGAAUUCCCGGUGUAGAGUGAAAUUCGUAGAUAUCGGGAGGAACACCAGUGGCGAAGGCGGCGAAUCUGGGAAG